rnacentral:lncRNA from 1 species
UAGUUCAACAAUGUUCAUGCCACAAGAGGGGGGAAAGAGAAAGGAAACAAAUUUUGUACUGCUUGAACCCAUUUUUGGACUCUUGCUAUUUAUCCUAGUACUAACGUGAAGUCUUUGGGAGUUUUUAAGCAAAGCAAUUUACAAUGCAAAUUGUAUUUGCAUUUCAAGUAAUCAUUCCAGAUAUAGCACAGAACCAUUUUUGGAGAGAGAAUCAGGGAGAGCACUUUAGAGGUUCUCACCAUAGCCCAGGUGAGAGAGUGAUGGGCUGGAAUCCAUGAUGGCAAUGAAGAUAGAAAGAGAAAAAUUCAUUCAAGAAAUAGAGAGAAGGUAAAAUCUGACAAUACUUGGUGAUUUGAAAUGGAAAUGUGAAGAAGAAAAUGUCAAAAGUUAAUUGAGAUGUCAGGUGUAGGUAGAAGUUGACAUCAUUUGCUGCAAAAAAAAAACACACACACAAGAAGAAUACCACUUUCAGUGAAAGAGACAUCUGGGUUGCUUAAAGUAUGAAAUGGGACUUUUCCAAUUUCAUGCAGGUAAAUUAGGAGGGCUCAACCUUGAAGCACAAAAGAUGGUGAUUAUGGUAACACUGGCCUUGAGACCAGGACCUGUAUCAGACUCUAGAAAGAUCAGUGUGAUUUGGAGCAGGUACAGACUGGAAUAUUUCAGUGAAAAACAAAACAAAACAAAGCAUUCACACUUAUUCUUGCAGCCUUGUUUUAUUUGAAGGAGUAAAUAAUUGGGCCUUAUUCAGAGCUGCAAGUUUUGGUAAGCCCUAAAAUGAACAAAAAAUUGUAUAAAAUGGAAGCAAUUCACCAAUUCUAUUCACUUAACAUUUACUGAUUUUCUUCCAGGUUUAAGUAUUAUGAUAGUCAUUGUACAGUAAUUACUUUAUUGACCAUCUUCUCUGGUGUUUGUAUUAAUACACAAAGAAAUCUAACUUUAAAAGUGUAGCAUUGCUUUCAGCUGACACCAAUCAUUACCCGUUAUCUCAAUUCAUUAAAUCAUAUUGUUUCAGCAAUAAGUUACAUUUUGAAGUUAAUGAAAUACUUAAAAGGCUGUGAUGUUGUAGCUGCAGAUGUAGUAUGCAAAACACAUUUGAUUCAUGUUAUUUAGCACAAUUUCAUCUUAAAAUCUUAUCUAUAAAACAUUUUUACACAUCUAUUAUUCUCUUGCUUUAUGUAAAGUUUAUGUCAUUUAUCUCUAUCAAAUUAAGUUACAUUUCUAGUUUUACUCAACCAUAAAAGACAGCAUUAAUUUUUACAAACAUUAAUAAUGAACUAUAUUCACUCAUAACUAUUUAUGUCUAAGUUGUCUUAGAUUUACUGAACAAUUUCUGAGUAACUAAUGGCUAACCUUUUAUUUUUCUAUGAUGAUAAACAUUUUUACAGUAUCCAGGCUUCAGACAUAUUUUUGAAAACUUAUUUCUAUAUGGGUCAAAAUUUAAAUCAGUUGUAAUAUGUGAUCCACUCAAAUAUAUUCUCCAGGAUGCACUAUUAAAAUGAAAUACCGAAGUGGUUCCCCAAGACACCAAUUUAAAGUGUAUAUGUGCAGUGCAGGGUUACUGGACCAAGGCACAGUGUAAACAGCAAAAUUUUAUUUUUUGUUUUCUUUUUCCUAAGAUGUUUCUUAUUCCCCGUUAUAUGAAAAUGUAUAUUACAGGCAAAGAAAAAUUAACACGAAUAGAAGUAAAUAUAAAGUAUAUUCACAUUAAUAUCAGCUUUGCUUUAUCUAUUAAAGGAUGUAACACACUUGUGGUUUUCAGGACCUUGUAACUCCUGGUUCAUUGGAAAGCAUAGAAAUUCUUCAGAGCCUCAAGAGUUGUGUUUAACGCAUUAUUUAAAUAGUGUCCAACCAGUAGUUAGAUAGCUUAGCACUCAAAUAGCCUUUGAAAUCUCUGUAGACUCACCUCAAUUGAGGAGUCCUGAUAAUUUACAGAAGUGUGUAGUGCACUGAUGGAUAAUGUCUUUGCCUGUGGAGUGUUUCAUGUGUUGGUCCACUGGAGUGUGUGUGUGUGUGUGUGUGUGUCUGUGUGUAGGUGGGUGAGUAUGGGUGGGUGUGGAUUGUGUGUGUGUGUAUGUGUAUGAGUUUACAUUGUGGUAUGUGUCUGUUGGGGUGCUGCCAUUUGGGAUUUGGAAGAGUGAGGACCAUAAACUUGUCAACAUUCCUACAUGCCUGCUUCAUAACAAGUGUACUGAACGUGGCCAAAAGUAACUAAACCAAGUAAACAAAUUAGACAUUAAUUAAAUUUAAUGCUGGGCAGGAAAGAAGUAUUCAAGACCAGGUAAAAUGAAGAAAUAUAACCAAAUGAAUGAAAUGUUUAGAUUGAUUCGUAGAAUGAGACGAAUAUUUUUUAAAAUUUGUAGUUUCUAAUGAAUAACAGCAUAUAAAAUAAGAAUGAUAUGGCUCUCAAUUGACUAAAAACUGUACUUAAGUUUUGAGCUAGUGAAACAACCAUAUAUGAUCUUCUAUUUCCACUUUUCUGUCUCAAGAAUGACUUGUGAAAAUGUUUUUUUUGAAAUUUUACAUUCUUAUCUUGAAAGAGCUUCACAAAAUUUACAUGAGAAUCUGGAUGCUCAUAAGAGGUCUGAUUUUUUAAUGGCAUGUUUGUAUUUCUGUUAUGAACAUCAAUGUCAAGCAUUCGUUUCCUGAGCUGUUCUCUACAACACAAUUUAACUUGUAAUGGACACUCAAUAAAUCGUUGGUUGGAUAUGCAAAUCAACACCUUAGUUCCAUCAAUUUUCAUUUCAUAUAAAAAUGCCUGAUCUUCUAUACUCAUCAAUGAAACAGAGAGAGAUGAAGGAGGGAGAGCAGUUGAGACUGAGAGGAUGACAAGCAGACCUCAUUCUGCAGUGGAUUUCCUACACUCUCCACUUCUGAAUGCUUGGAAACACUUGCCAUGCUCAAAAAAUAUUGGUAUUUCCUAGGCAGCAAAUGGGAGUUAAAGAAAGUCCAUAUUUCUAUAUUACAAUAACUUACACUAUAAUACACAGAUGGCAUACAUUUCUAAGCUAUUUCAAUUCACAGAAAAUGUAGAUAAAUUUAGGUGAGCAAGAUGUAAGAGAAGGGUUAGUAAUCAAGCUGAGUGUGAUUGUGAGAUUAAAUCUAAUAUUAUCUUAUACAAUUAUUGUAUAAUUGUAUCAGUUGACAUAUCUGUUGAAACAGAAGGUGGGAGAGUUUUGCAUGCGCUUCUGAAAUGUAAUGGAUGAUGUUAGGAGAGAGGCGGGUCAACGUGGCUAGGCCAGAAGUGUUUACUAAUUGAGGCUUAGGAAAGUUAAGCUCCUAAUCAGAGACCGGGAGAUAGAGGCGCUAAAGUGUAUAACAUUUAUAUUUAAUAUAUAUUUAAUAAUAUAUAAUAAAGUCUUAAAAUGCCAGUUUUAAGUCUUUUCAUUUUCUUCUUAAAAACAGAGGUUUUAUUGCGUUUGGUCCACAGUCGGUAUUUCACAUUAUCUCAUAGUGCAGGGCUCCUGGGGGGAGGGCUCUGUGCAGUACUUGGCGUGGCCUGGGGCCGGGGGAGAUAGAGCAGUAGACCUGGUCAGGCCCGGAAGGGGAGAAGGAGGGCCGGGGCUCCUUAAGACCUACUGAGGGCCUGGGCGCGGUGGCUCACGCCUGUCAUCCCAACACUUUGGGAGGACGAAACAGGCGGAUCACAUGAGGGAAAGAGUUCCCGACCAGCCUGGCCAACAUAGUGAAAUCCCAUCUCUACUAAAAAUACAAAAAAUUAGGCAGGCGUGGUGGUGGGUGCCUGUAGUCCCAGCUACUCUGGAGGCUGAGGCAGGAGAAUCGCUUAAGCUGGGAGGCCGAGGUGCAGUGAGGCGAGAUUACUCCAGUGCGCUUCAGCCUGGGCGACAGAGUGAGACUACAUCUCAAAAAAAACAAAAAUAAAAACAAACAAAAAACCCUACUGAGGGCCACGGAGGUGGGGGAGCUAGGAUGGAGAGGGGUCAGGCUUAAUCCUGGCAACUCAGAAUUCCACUAACUUGUACGGGUCUCAGUUUCCUCACCGGGCCCCAGCAUAGGUCUGAGGGUCUGAGGUCUGUUGGUCUGAGGGUCCUAGGGAAAUCCAGCCACUCAGGAGCCUGAGAUAUUUUAGCAUCGUGGCUGGGCCCCCUCUCCCAGGGAACUCAUUUCCCAGCACCCUCUCCACUGUCUCCGCCCCAUUCCUCGGAGAAGAAAAAAAUUUUCUUUCUUUUGUUAAUACUUCCUGAAACUUUUGCAGGUACAGAAACCACAAACUGAUCGGCUGACAAAAAGGGGAAGAGGAGAGGCAACCAGAAAUCUUCAGGGACUGGUUCCCUCCAUGCCCAGGUCUCUUCUCCCCAGCACAGCUCAGCCCACAGCCUGGAAGUGCCAGCGGGGACCUUCACCCUACACGCAUCAGGAUACGGCCUUGAUCCCUUCCCCCACAGCCCGGUGGCUCAGUCCUGCGAAGGAACCAAAGCAAGGGGAGGUGGGGGAAAAAACCCUGCUGCCUGAUCCCACGCUGCCGCUCACAGACCCUCGGUUGACUGGCAGCACUGAACAGGCUGUGGGCUGAGCUGUGCUGGAGAGAAGAGACCUGGAUAUGGAGGGAACGGGUCCCUGAAGGUUUCUGGUUGCCUCUCCUCUUCCCCCUUUUCUCAGCCUAUCAGUAAGUGGUUUCUGUACCUGCAAAAGUUUCAGGAAGUAUUAACAAAAUAAAAAAAAAAUUUUUUUCCCCGAGGAAUGGGGCGGGGACAGUGGAGAGGGUGCUAGGAAAUGAGUCCCCUGGGAGAGGGGGCCCAGCCACGAUGCUAAAAUAUCUCAGGCUCCUGAGUGGCUGGAUUUCCCUAGGACCCUCAGACCAACAGACCUCAGACCUACGCUGGGGCCCCGUGAGGAAACUGAGGCCCGUACAAGGUAGUGGAAUUUUGAGUUGUCAGGGUUAAGCCUGAGCCAUCUCCAUCCUAGCUCCCCCACCUCCGUGGCCCUCAGUAGGGUUUUUUGUUUGUUUUUGUUUUUUUGAGAUGGAGUCUCACUCUGUCGCCCAGGCUGAAGCGCACUGGAGUAAUCUUGCCUCACUGCACCUCGGCCUACCGGGCUCAAGCGAUUCUCCUGCUUCAGCCUCCAGAAUAGCUGGGACUACAGGCGCCCACCACCACGCCUGGCUAAUUUUUUGUAUUUUUAGUAGAGACGGGAUUUCACCAUGUUGGCCAGGCUGGUUUGGAACUCUUGCGCUCAUGUGAUCCGCCUGUUUCGUCCUCCCAAAGUGUUGGGAUGACAGGCGUGAGCCACCGCGCCCAGCCCUUCAGUAGGUCUUAAGGAGUCCCGGCCCUCCUUCUCCCCUUCCGGGCCUGACCAGGUCUACUGCUCUAUCUCCCCCGGCCCCAGGCCACGCCAAGUACUGCGCAGAGCCCUCCCCCCAGGGGCCCUACGCUAUGAGAUAAUGUGAAAUACCGACUGUGGACCAAACGCAAUAAAACCUCUGUUUUUAAGAAGAAAGUGAAAAGACUUAAAAUUGGCAUUUUAAUACUUUACUAUAUAUUAUUAAAUAUAUAUUAAAUAUAAAUGUUAUACAAUUGAGCGCCUCUAUCUCCCAGUCUCUGGUUAGGAACUUAACUUUCCUAAGCCUCAAUUAGUAAACACUUCUGGCCUAGCCAUGUUGACCCGCCUCUCUCCUAACAUCAUCCAGUAUAUUUCGGAAGCGCAUGCAAAACUCUCCCACCUUUUGUUUCAACAGAUAUGUCAACUGAU